rnacentral:rRNA from 1 species
UACGAAGGGGGCUAGCGUUGCUCGGAAUUACUGGGCGUAAAGGGAGCGUAGGCGGGUUAUCAAGUUGGAGGUGAAAGCCCAGGGCUCAACCUUGGAAUUGCCUUCAAAACUGAUAGCCUAGAGUAUGAUAGAGGUAAGUGGAACUCCGAGUGUAGAGGUGAAAUUCGUAGAUAUUCGGAAGAACACCAGUGGCGAAGGCGACUUACUGGAUCAUGACUGACGCUGAGGCUCGAAAGCGUGGGGAG